UACGAAGGGGGCUAGCGUUGCUCGGAAUCACUGGGCGUAAAGGGUGCGUAGGCGGGUCUUUAAGUCAGGGGUGAAAUCCUGGAGCUCAACUCCAGAACUGCCUUUGAUACUGAAGAUCUUGAGUCCGGGGGAGGUGAGUGGAACUGCGAGUGUAGAGGUGAAAUUCGUAGAUAUUCGCAAGAACACCAGUGGCGAAGGCGGCUCACUGGCCCGGUACUGACGCUGAGGCACGAAAGCGUGGGGAGCAAACAGG
rnacentral:rRNA from 1 species